GAGAAUAACGCAGUUGAAGUGUAAAACAAGCUUGGGGCAAUCACUUUCAUGGUCCCUAGGAAAAGGCUUUACUCAAGUGUUGUGAGCAAGACAAUGACAAAGCAAUCCGAGUUGAAAUCUUCUUUCCGUGUUUAUACACCAAUGGAUGACGAGAUUGACAAGGGUAAAUUUGAAAUGCUGAAAAAGGAUGACAACCAUAGAAGGUGAAUGAAGUGUUGAGUUUGAAAAUGUUGCAAGGCUUGCUUUGUCCUGGAUCUGAUGAUACCUCCUAAAGUUUAACUUACGCAGAAGAACCAUUUGUCCC
rnacentral:lncRNA from 1 species